UACGGAGGUGGCAAGCGUUGCUCGGAAUCACUGGGCGUAAAGGGCGCGUAGGCGGGGAGGUAAGUCGGGUGUGAAAUCCCUCGGCCCAACUGAGGAACUGCGCCCGAGACUGCUUUUCUUGAGUCCCGGAGAGGAAGAUGGAAUUCCCGGUGUAGCGGUGAAAUGCGCAGAUAUCAGGAGGAACACCGGUGGCGAAGGCGGGUCUCUGGACAGUUCCUGACACUGAGACACGAAGGCCAGGGGAGCAAACGGG
rnacentral:rRNA from 1 species